GUGGGGAAUAUUGGGCAAUGGGCGCAAGCCUGACCCAGCAACGCCGCGUGAGGGAAGAAGGCUUUCGGGUUGUAAACCUCUGUCCUUGGUGACGAAACAAAUGACGGUAGCCAAGGAGGAAGCCCCGGCUAACUACGUGCCAGCAGCCGCGGUAAUACGUAGGGGGCGAGCGUUGUCCGGAAUUACUGGGCGUAAAGGGUGCGUAGGUGGCCUUUUAAGUUGGAUGUGAAAUACCCGGGCUUAACUUGGGGGGUGCAUCUAAUACUGGGAGGCUAGAGUGCAGGAGAGGGAAGCGGAAUUCCUAGUGUAGCGGUGAAAUGCGUAGAUAUUAGGAGGAACACCAGUGGCGAAGGCGGCUUACUGGACGAGUACUGACGCUCAUGUGCGAAAGCGUGGGGAGCAAACAGGAUUAGAUACCCUAGUAGUCC
rnacentral:rRNA from 1 species